CCUUAGUUUAGAUAAACCCACAAGUCGUUGCCUUAGUUUAGAUAAACCCACAAGUCGUCGCCUUAGUUUAGAUAAACCCACAAGUCGUUUCCAGUAGUUUAAGUUGCACUAACCAUUGAAAAUAUGACCACAAAGAUUAGCAUAAACAUCUGGGGUCACCGGUAAAAUACAUGAAACAACAGUGGCUUUAAAAGUGUAUAAAUCUCACUUCUGUGCUGCAGAAGGUUCUGUACACUUCGUCAGAUGGUCUCUGGUGGACUUCUGGGGGCAGAGAAUCUGUCUGAAGGUUUCGUGGGAGAGUAGAGAUGUCUGCUUCUCUGACCGAUCCAAUGUGAGUUUGAAGACGAACAUUCCGGUAACCACGGCAACCACGGAACGUUCCGGUUCCUGCUGAGAACAGGUCUCACCUCAGAGCUCCAUCGGAACAUGUUCACAGGCUCACUGUCCGACAGACACGUGACCCAAGUCAUUCUCCGCUGCUACAAAACAAUGUGUUACACAAGUCAAAUAACAUGGAAAUGCAUCUGUUCCUGGAGCUUUGGGGGUGUCACUGUCCUCUGUCCUGUGUGGUCCUCCAGUGUCCACUGAUUGACAACAUCUCGUCCUGAUGUUUUACAGGAUUCCGCUAUCAUUUAUGGAGACAGGAAGCUAGACUUUCAGAAUAAAGUGAAACAACAAUUUAAAAUGAAAACCAGGCGUUUUCUGCAUUUUGUUGCUUGUUUGCUGUGUCUCUUGUCGGACAAAUGUCUCUCCAAACACAUUUUGUCUAGAUCUAUUGUGUACUGUUGACUGUCUAUUGACACCCCCGUGCAUCACACCCUGACAACUCUCUUUUUUUGUGAAAGUAGACUCAACUCCUGGAUAUUCUACUUGUUUGCAAUAAUAGUGCUUCCAUAUGCCAAAGAUGUGUCAGUUUGUAAAGGACACUCAAACAUAGAGGACAGACACAAGCCUUGAGUGCUGCCAGUGUCUCUUUUAAACCGGCAUGUAACAUGGGUUUAGUACAUCAAUACAGCCAGAAGCGCUACCGACAUUAUAUUAGCACAUCAAUGCACUGUAACUCAGUACAAUCUUCCUUAUACUUUAUUUGAGUAUUCUUUCAUUUCUGUAUUUCAAAUGGAAAUAACGCUUUAUACUCCACAACAUUUUAUGACCCCUUUAACUAACGAACAACCGUCCCCCGACACUCACUAUUACACAACGGACUCCCACGUCUGGUGCAGUAUCUUUAAGUCAGUACCAAAGUGUUUGGCAUCAAUCAAAUGUCACGUAAGCGGAUGAGAAAUGCUGCAGUGCCUCAACAGGCCUUUUUGUGUGUCAUUUUGCCCUGUCUUUUGCAUUUGGCAACAAAUUCUCGGCGACAUCACAUCUUCCUUCAGGACAAAGUGGAGUUUGACUGUUAUGGUCAUUAAUCAAGUCAGAUAUUUGAAUAUACUUAUAAUCAUGAUAUUACAACAUUAACCAUCUAUUUAGCAUCUUAUAGAUAUAACUAAACAUUGGAUGACUGCAUAACGUGUGAAGGCCUUCUGAGGAAGAUAAAGCAGAUAAAGGUAAUAGCAGCUGUGUGACUGGACGUGACAGAGAGACGGGACAUCUGUUGGUCAUAACGCUCCCCGUCCCUUUAUGAGGCUGACGUAGUCCCAUGAAAUGACUGAAUGCUUUUGAUUCUACUCACAAAAUCACAACUGAUAUUUCAUUAUUAAAAUAAGAGGGCUUUUUAUUAUAUUUAACGGUGCAGGCGUUACAAGCCCUGGUCCAUCGCUGAGCUGGCGGGGCUUUUGUUUCUAAAGGGCAGGCCGGAAGUGGUUUUAUUCCUCCGGUGAGCUUAACAGCGGCUGUCUGCGCGUCCCCUUCGCGUCCCUGGUGCACUAGUGAACCGGAGGAGCAGCUCGCCGCGCUGCUCGGACCGCAGAGGAUGACAGACGGGAACCAGUCGGUCCCGUUACGACUGCGACAAAGCGAGAAACGCGAGCUUCUUAAUACUGAUCGUUAGCAGAACCUGCGCAUCUCAGCACCGCAACAACAGGCUCGGGCGGGAUGCUCGGCACCGGCACAGAAUCCCCGGUUAUUCACAUCCAGUCACAGGCCGCCGCCGGUACCGGCGAGCUAAUCUGCUCCGUUGAGUGACACAACGGGACCGAAGCAAAAUGGGAUUCCUGCACCAGCUCCAUCUCCUGCUGUGGAAGAACAUCUCUCUGAAGAGGAGGGGACCGGUAAGACACCCCGUCGGUUGACACGUGCCCCGCCGUGCCAGGCUGCGGUAUUUGGGCGAAGCACCUGCUGUCUCCAUCUGAGCUGAUGAUGUCGAUGAUGAUGGUGGUCGUGGUGAAGAUGGUGGUGGUGGUGAUGAUGGUGGUGAUAGUGGUGAAGAUGGUGGUGAAGAUGGUGGUGGUGGUGAAGAUGAAGAUGGUGGUGAUGAUGGUGGUGAUGAUGUUGGUGGUGGUGAAGAUGGUGGUGAUGACGAUGAUGGUGGUGAAGAUGGUGGUGGUGCUGGUGAAGAUGAUGGGCAGCAAGUUGUGGUCAAACAGGUGGUGGUUUGGGGCAGCUGCAGCGGUUCGCUCAGGAUGUGCUGUCAUGACCUCAUCAGGGUGUGCUGUCAUGACCUCAUCAGGGUGUGCUGUCAUGACCUCAUCAGGAGGAUGAUCCAGAAACACUGUGUGCACACACGUAGACAAGAGAGGUCAAUACUAGAGUUGUCACGAUACCAAAACUAUGACUUCGAUACUAUACCUGCCAAAAUAUUACGGCUUCCGAUACUUCCGAUACGAUACCACAAAUAGGAUAAUGGAAUAUAUUUAUCUAUGAUAGUAAUAAAUAAAACAUUGGUUCCUUUUUUUACCUGAUAUCUGUUUGACUGUCUGUGGGAUGAACAAUGCUUUAUUUACUUGCAUAGUUUGCUAUUCUCAGAUUC
ensembl:lncRNA